rnacentral:rRNA from 1 species
UCGUGUCGUGAGAUGUUGGUUAGUCCGCAACGAGCGCAACCCCUAUUGUUAGUUGCCAUCAUUCAGUUGGGCACUCUAGCGAGACUGCCGGUAAUAAACCGGAGGAAGGUGGGGAUGACGUCAAAUCAUCAUGCCCCUUAUGACCUGGGCUACACACGUGCUACAAUGGUUGGUACAACGAGUUGCGAGUCGGUGACGGCGAGCUAAUCUCUUAAAGCCAAUCUCAGUUCGGAUUGUAGGCUGCAACUCGCCUACAUGAAGUCGGAAUCGCUAGUAAUCGCGGAUCAGCACGCCGCGGUGAAUACGUUCCCGGGCCUU